rnacentral:rRNA from 1 species
AGAGUUUGAUCAUGGCUCAGAACGAACGCUGGCGGCGUGGAUAAGACAUGCAAGUCGGACGGAAACUUUUCUGGUAGCAAUACCGGGGAAGUUUUAGUGGCGAACGGGUGCGUAACACGUGGGCAAUCUGCCGAGAAGUGGGGGGAUAGCUCGCCGAAAGGCGAAUUAAUACCGCAUGUGAUCAGGGGAGACAUCUUUCUGAAAUUAAAGCCGGGGCAACCUGGCGCUUCUUGAUGAGCCCGCGGCCUAUCAGCUAGUUGGUGAGGUAACGGCCCACCAAGGCGAUGACGGGUAGCUGGUCUGAGAGGACGACCAGCCACACUGGAACUGAGACACGGUCCAGACACCUACGGGUGGCAGCAGUCGAGAAUUUUUCUCAAUGGGGGAAACCCUGAAGGAGCGACGCCGCGUGGAGGAUGAAGGCUUUCGGGUUGUAAACUCCUGUCAUUUGGGAACAAUGCUACUGAGUUAACUGUUCAGUAGUUGAUAGUACCAGAAGAGGAAGAGACGGCUAACUCUGUGCCAGCAGCCGCGGUAAUACAGAGGUCUCAAGCGUUGUUCGGAUUCAUUGGGCGUAAAGGGUGCGUAGGUGGCGCGCUAAGUCAGGUGUGAAAUUUCGGAGCUCAACUCCGAAACUGCAUUUGAUACUGGCGUGCUUGAGGACUGGAGAGGAGACUGGAAUUCACGGUGUAGCAGUGAAAUGCGUAGAGAUCGUGAGGAAGACCAGUGGCGAAGGCGGGUCUCUGGACAGUUCCUGACACUGAGGCACGAAGGCCAGGGGAGCAAACGGGAUUAGAUACCCUCGUAGUCC